CAUGUUGGUACCAAUGACAAAGUAAGAGGAAGAUGGAAGGUCCUAAAGAAUGAUUUCAGGGAAUUAGGUAGCAAACUUAAGAAAAGGACCUCCAAGGUGGUAUUCUCUGAGAUAUUACCUGUGCCGCGUGCUACAGUGGAAAGGCAGCGGGAGAUUAGAGAGGUCAAUGCGUGGCUUAAGUCUUGGUGCAGGAAGGAGGGUUUG